GUGCGACUGCGCCACUCUCGAGCUUGCGCGAACAGGGAGACAGGUGCUAUCGAAGUCGAAAUUUCUUGAGACAUUCGGGUUGUUUAUUAUACAUUUCAUGGCUUUCAUAGAUCGGAAACAGAACGCAGGUCUGAAAAUACUUUCAAGAGAAAUUGGGUCCUACUUAAAUGCACAAGAGUUGAAUAUACAGAUGUGUCCAUUCUGUUUCGAAGGCCAAACAGUGCUAUCUGCGUCUGCGCGGACUUGUACAUGGUCUGAAUAUGGAAUUUCAACUCAUUUUUACCGAGUAAGAGUCAGCGGAAUUGUUUACCAAAGUUAAAUUAAUAAAAUCUCACCAAAUUGGCUUAUUUUCUCCCAAGCGUUUCUAGAAGAUUUGUGUUGUUUCUACACAGGAAGUAGAUUUCUCGUUCUUGGAAAACGCCAUCUGUUUUAAUGGCGGGAAUUUUUGAAAAAUUAAACUGCACUGAAAAAUCUGCUGGGAAAAUGAAAUCUUACUUUAAUUUUAUAAGGGCAAAACGAAUGUCUUCACCCCUCCAGUAAAGCCUGCAGCUCUGCAUCUAUUCAGAGAACACCUCAAUUAUUUUCCUUAAUACCAGAGAUAUAAAUAACAUGUUUUAUGUCUCUGUUAAUACAUAAACCAGAUAGAGGAAUAAAGGAAAGACUUACGUUUUUGAUAGCAAAUAUGCUUUGUCUUAUCAAUAUGUAAAACUACACAUGAACAUGAUGUAUGAUUGUACAUGUAUUGUAAAAGGGCUACAUGUAUAUUGUGAUUUUAGGGGUUAUACUCGCUCAAGUAUAAGCUGAAUAAAACUCCAAAC
rnacentral:sRNA from 1 species